rnacentral:lncRNA from 1 species
CCAGGUGAAUACGGAAUAUUCCAAAACAUUCCACUGGCUUAUGGACCUCCAAGGAAAACUAUGACCAGGUGGUGACGUAACAUGAGGAAUCCGAGAUGGGGGAAACUCAGUUAGGGUGCUCAUUUUAGCCUGGGGAGCACAAUAAAGGUGUUCACCCUUUUCGGGGUUGGAAUAUAUUCAAGUGACAGAUGUCACACUGUUCCUGGGAGUUCUGACUGCUUUCAUCUUAUGGACCUAUUACCAAGACCACCUGCUCCCUCUCCUUACGAAAAUACGUAUCAUUCCCUUAAUAAGAAACUGCUCUACAUUUCAAAUUGCAUAUGGAAGAGGAAGCAAGCACACGCAAACAACAAAAAACACUGAAGCAAGUAACGUUCAAGAUGGAUUCAAGAAUUCACGCUGCUUUGUGGACAGAAGCUGCCCCUGUGGAAUUUCACUCUCUGCUCCGGAUCCGUCGAACACUUCCGAAUGCUUUUUAAAGACACAGUUAUUUCAACUGUGCGGCAUUCAUGUGGAUAAAUAUCCCCUUCCUUUUAAACUACGGGUUUUCCCCUUCAACUAUUAAUAAAAAAAGACAUCCUGUGCAAAAAGAAAAAAAGGAA